AUUGAACGCUGGCGGCAUGCCUAACACAUGCAAGUCGAACGGUAACAGGCCCUUCGGGUGCUGACGAGUGGCGGAUGGGUGAGUAAUACUUAGGAAUCUACCCUGUAGUGGGGGACGAACCCGGGAAACGUCGGGCGUAAUACCGCAUACGCUCUACGGAGGAAGCGGGGCCGCAAGCCUCGCGCUAUUGGAUGAGCCUAAGCCCGAUUAGCUAGUUGGUGGGGUAAUAGCCUACCAAGGCAAUGAUCGGUAGCUGGUCUGAGAGGACGACCAGCCACACUGGGACUGAGACACGGCCCAGACUCCUACGGGAGGCAGCAGUGGGGAAUAUUGGACAAUGGGCGAAAGUCUGAUCCAGCGAUGCCGCGUGUGUGAAGAAGGCCUGCGGGUU
rnacentral:rRNA from 1 species